rnacentral:rRNA from 1 species
AACAGCUCAAAUUUGAAAUCUGGCUCUUUUAGAGUCCGAGUUGUAAUUUGCAGAGGGCGCUUUGGCUUUGGCAGCGGUCCAAGUUCCUUGGAACAGGACGUCACAGAGGGUGAGAAUCCCGUACGUGGUCGCUGGCUAUUGCCGUGUAGAGCCCCUUCGACGAGUCGAGUUGUUUGGGAAUGCAGCUCUAAAUGGGAGGUACAUUUCUUCUAAAGCUAAAUAUUGGCCAGAGACCGAUAGCGCACAAGUAGAGUGAUCGAAAGAUGAAAAGCACUUUGGAAAGAGAGUCAAACAGCACGUGAAAUUGUUGAAAGGGAAGCGCUUGCAGCCAGACUUGCUUACAGUUGCUCAUCCGGAUUUCUACCCGGUGCACUCUUCUGUAGGCAGGCCAGCAUCAGUUUGGGCGGUAGGAUAAAGGUCUCUGUC